GCUAUGUUUCUCAAGAUCCACAGAUUAUAAUAGAAACCUAAUACAGGAUGAGCAAUACAGAAUAACCAUCACAUUUUGACAGACACAGUGCUGUGUGUGACAACAAAAAAGGCAGACUUUUGCAUUUUUGUAAUGUACCAAGUGCUUUAUCCUACUGACGCUGUUUCCUUUCUUCCUGUUACAGAGAAGACCGAAAGCAAACCAAAGCCCAGCGUAGUCUACCAGCCCACAUCAAUGUAUGGUGGUGAUGAUGAUGAUGGGGAAUUCAAACAGAAGUCAUCGUUUGUGGUAUAGUCUGCAAUAAAAGGCCACGACAGGAGAACCCCUUGGUUUUAAAUGUCUCUCAGCGUGGGAUUUCCCUGAAGUUUAGUGACGUCUUUCUUUUUAUUUGCUCCUAAGUUGCAGUUUUUAUAGACCAGAGUGAUUGUUUGCGUUGACCUGAUCUGUCUACUUUAGUGUCUCAUAUGCAUCAAGGUUAUAGGAAAUAAUUUACCACAGACAGACUAUGAGACAGCUGUCAUACAUUGAUAUGUUUUUAUAUGAGAAUUUAGUCCGAUCUUUUGUCCAUCUGUGUUUGAAGUGUGUGCUUCUGUAUUUCCGUGCCUCUGUAAAACUCAACUAUGUAUUUUUUUUUUUUUUGUCUGAUGAUGCGUCUGCGUGGAAACAUAUCAAAUCAAUGGAAUACAAAUACACCCAGUUCUGUUAAAGAGGGCAAUCUAGGAAUUUAAAUUUAUUUAGUUCUCUUUUAAAGACAAUUGACACAUUGGUAUGAUAAAGCUUGAUAACAAUUUUUAAAGCCACAUUUUAAUUCUAUUUUUUUCUUUUCUUUAACAAACCACAAAACUGUUGUACAAUAUUCUUUUUCUAUUAAUGAUUGUUAAGUUUGUUUUUUUUGUAAAUAACAAAACAGUUUUUACAUUUGUAAUUUAGAACAAAAAUAAAAUCACUUAUCUUCUUACGACAUUAUCAAGAAACUACUACUGCUUGUAUGACAAUGAUAUUUUACUGGAACAUUCUCUUUAGCAUAUCAUUUUUUAUUAUACUGUCUGGUAGCGUUGUGUGGGAGUGUAGACUAGCAGUUUAGUAAACUUUGUGUUAGUGCUGUGUGAUAUGGACAAAAUCAAAUAUUACAAUAUUUUUAACCAAAUACCUUUAUCGAUAUUGUGACAGUAUAACAGGGUUGACUAUUGGUGCUUUCAUACAAUACUUGCAGAAUGACAUUUUUAAUAAAACGAUUAUCAGUAAUGUGGAUAUAUGACUAAGUGGAUAAAGGCAAAUAACAGAACAGCUUGAACAAUCAGUUCUGAAAAUGACAUCCCUUUAUUGUAAUAUUUACAUAAUUCCAAUAUCCAAAACCUAAGGUUAUGUCUAGUCUCAUAUUA